rnacentral:rRNA from 1 species
AUUGAACGCUGGCGGCAGGCCUAACACAUGCAAGUCGAGCGGAUGAAGGGAGCUUGCUCCUGGAUUCAGCGGCGGACGGGUGAGUAUGCCUAGGAAUCUGCCUGGUAGUGGGGGAUAACGUCCGGAAACGGGCGCUAAUACCGCAUACGUCCUGAGGGAGAAAGUGGGGGAUCUUCGGACCUCACGCUAUCAGCUGAGCCUAGGUCGGAUUAGCUAGUUGGUGGGGUAAAGGCCUACCAAGGCGACGAUCCGUAACUGGUCUGAGAGGAUGAUCAGUCACACUGGAACUGAGACACGGUCCAGACUCCUACGGGAGGCAGCAGUGGGGAAUAUUGGACAAUGGGCGAAAGCCUGAUCCAGCCAUGCCGCGUGUGUGAAGAAGGUCUUCGGAUUGUAAAGCACUUUAAGUUGGGAGGAAGGGCAGUAAGUUAAUACCUUGCUGUUUUGACGUUACCAACAGAAUAAGCACCGGCUAACUUCGUG